GUAACAUUAAAACCACCUGCCUAAUAUUGUGUGGGUCCUCCUUAUGGAGUCCUCUUAUGGAAUCUCUGAAGGUGUGCUGUGGUAUCUGGCACCAACAAGUUAGCAGCAGAUGUUUUAAGUCCUGUAAGCUGCGAGGUCGGUCCUCCAUGGAUUGGACCAGCACGUCCCACAGAUGCUCGAUCGGAUUGAGAUCUGGGGAAUUUGGAGGCCAAAUCGGCACCUUGAACUCUGUCAUGUUCCUUAAACCAUUCCUGAACAGUUUUGCAGUGUGGCAGGAAGCAUUUUCCUGCUGAAAGAGGUCACUGCCAUUAGGGAAUACAGUUCAUAUGAAAGUGUGUACUUGGUCUGCAACAGUGUUUAGGUAGGUGGUACGUGUCAAAGUAACAUUCACAUGAAUGUCAGGACUCAAGAUUUCCCAGCAGAACAUUGCCCAGAGCAUCACACUCCCAUAGUGCAUCUUGAUGCCACCCAGACAUCCACACGAUGUAAAAGAAAACGUGAUUCAUCAGACCUUCCUUGGACCACUUUUGAUAGGUACUAACCACUGCAUACUGGGAACAUCCCACAAGACCUGCUGUUUUGGAGAUGCUCUGACCCUGUCAUCAAGCCAUCACAAUUUUGCCCUUGUCAAAGUCUCUCAGAUUCUUUCGCUUGCCCAUUUUUCCUGCUUCCAACACAUCAACUUCAAGAACUGACUGUUCACUUGCUGCCUAAUAUCUCCCACCCCAUGACAGGUGCCACUGUACCCAGCAGUGCCAUACUCCAUCCAUCCAUCCAUCUUCUAUACCGCUUAUCUUUUUCAGGGUCACAGGGAGACAGGGUGCCAAUCCAUCGCAGGGGCAGUGCCAUACUCAACAAUGUUAAUAGGUUGCUCAGCUGGACCAAGGAAAUUUAGAAUAAAACCAGUGUCAUAGCAAAUGUGUAAUUAUGUGCUGGGAAACGAAGAAUAAUUUUUCCUUCAUCCCUGUACAACAUGAGAUGUCUCUUACCCCAACUGAUUUGUUUCAGUGUUUGAACUUUGAAAGGUGAGCAACAAACAAAUUAAGGACAAAAUAAAUGUACAAAUUAAGUUUUUUUAAUAAUAAAAUGUAAAGGACAAAAUAAAUGUACUCUAUACAGAAUAAUUGAAAAAAGAAGGAUCUGUGUAUAAUUACAGGAUAAAAGUGAAUGUACGUAUAAAGGUAAGAAAAAAAUACACACUAAUUAUAAAAAAGAGCAAUCACAAUAAUUACAUAAAAAAAACAAGGGCAAGGCAGAUCACUCACUGUCCCUAAUAUUGUGGCAGGCUGAGACAUACUGUGCUGCUAAUAUACA
ensembl:lncRNA